rnacentral:misc_RNA from 1 species
GAUGAAGAACGUAGCGAAAUGCGAUAAGUAAUGUGAAUUGCAGAAUUCAGUGAAUCAUCGAAUCUUUGAACGCACCUUGCACUCCUUGGUAUUCCGAGGAGUAUGCCUGUUUGAGUCUCAUGGUAUUCUCAACCCCUAAAUUUUUGUAAUGAAGGUUUAGCGGGCUUGGACUUGGAGGUUGUGUCGGCCCUUGUCGGUCGACUCCUCUGAAAUGCAUUAGCGUGAAUCUUACGGAUCGCCUUCAGUGUGAUAAUUAUCUGCGCUGUGGUGUUGAAGUAUUUAUGGUGUUCAUGCUUCGAACCGUCUCCUUGCCGAGACAAUCAUUUGACAAUCUGAGCUCAAAUCAGGUAGGACUACCCGCUGAACUUAAGCAUAUCAAUAAGCGGAGGA